AAUAUUGCACAUUGGAGGAAACUCUGAUGCAGCGACGCCUCUUGAAUGAUGAAGGCUUUCGGGUCGUAAAUUUCUGUCCUAUGGAUAGAUAAUGCAGGUACCCAAGGAGAAAGCCAUUGUCAACUAUGUUCCAGAAGCCGCGGUAAUACGCAGGUGGUAAGCGUUGUCCGGAUUUAUUGGACGUAAAGCGCGCGCAGGCGGUCUUUUAAGUCUGAUGUGAAAUCUUACAGCUUAACUGUAAGCGGUCAUUGGAAACUGGGAGACUUGAGUGCAGAAGAGGAGAGUGGAAUUCCAUGUGUAGCGGUGAAAUGCGUAGAGAUAUGGAGGAACACCAGUGGCGAAGGCGACUCUCUGGUCUGUAACUGACGCUGAGGCGCGACAGCGUGGGGAUCAAACA
rnacentral:rRNA from 1 species